rnacentral:rRNA from 1 species
AUUGAACGCUGGCGGCAGGCCUAACACAUGCAAGUCGAACGGUAGCACAGAGAGCUUGCUCUCGGGUGACGAGUGGCGGACGGGUGAGUAACGUCUGGGAAACUGCCCGAUGGAGGGGGAUAACUACUGGAAACGGUAGCUAAUACCGCAUAACGUCGCAAGACCAAAGUGGGGGACCUUCGGGCCUCACACCAUCGGAUGUGCCCAGAUGGAUUAGCUAGUAGGUGGGGUAAUGGCUCACCUAGGCGACGAUCCCUAGCUGGUCUGAGAGGAUGACCAGCCACACUGCAACUGAGACACGGUCCAGACUCCUACGGGAGGCAGCAGUGGGGAAUAUUGCACAAUGGGCGCAAGCCUGAUGCAGCCAUGCCGCGUGUAUGAAGAAGGCCUUCGGGUUGUAAAGUACUUUCAGCGGGGAGGAAGGCGGUGAAGUUAAUAGCUUCACCGAUUGACGUUACCCGCAGAAGAAGCACCGGCUAACUCCGUGCCAGCAGCCGCGGUAA